rnacentral:lncRNA from 1 species
AACAAGAAAAAUGAAGAUAAUCCCUCUUCUCAACGUGACUUAGUUGUAAACCGUUCGGUGACUCAAUCCAUAUCUAGGAAACAUAACACAAAAUCCACUAAAAUCCAUAAACCCUGCAGAUUUAGUACAAAACUGGAGUUUAUCCAAGGUCCUUUACAUAAUCAACAUACUUUUAGGACCUAGAACCCAUUUCAUUUGUUAACCAACAUGUCAAAACAUUUACAAUUGGGUCAACUUGUAGUCUGUUUACUUACAGAACACUCAAAGAGUUGUAGUACUUUUAGCAUAAGCAGAAUUAAACCAUAUCGAUUGGACUCUUGCAAUAGAAACUCCAAAGCAUUGGGCAGAAUGUUGGUCAAUUGUUUGCAAAAUAAUGUAAAAAAUCCUUGGUAAAUCAGAAUAAACAAAUAAAACCAUAUAAAAUGAUAAAUCUGAACUUUUUACCAAAAUUACACUGUGAAUAUAAAAUAAACAACGGAACCACACCUUCAAUAAGAUAAGGGUUCAUAAACAAUCAAGAGUCCAGAAAAGUUUACCUGAAAUGAAAUAGUUGAGGCAUCGCUAUUGAAGAGAAGGUUUCUCAAAGCUCUUUUUGUUUCAGCUCGCUUUUGACGCAUUGCAUAUCUUAC